GGAUCGGUAGUUUUGUUGGUAAAGCGCUCGUCUAGCAUACAAGAGCCUUGGGUUCGAAUCCCAGCCGAGCAC
rnacentral:tRNA from 1 species